UACGUAGGGGGCUAGCGUUGUCCGGAUUUAUUGGGCGUAAAGAGCGUGUAGGCGGCCAGGUAGGUCUGCUGUGAAAACUCGAGGCUCAACCUCGAGACGUCGGCGGAAACCAUCUGGCUAGAGUCCGGAAGAGGAGAGUGGAAUUCCCCGGUGUAGCGGUGAAAAUGGCGCAGAUAUCGGGGAAGAACACCCGUGGCGAAGGCGGCUCUCUGGGACGGUACUGACGCUGAGACGCGAAAGCGUGGGGAGCGAACAGG
rnacentral:rRNA from 1 species